UACUUAUAUAUUACGAGUAUAAACACAAUCAAAACAAUAAAAAAAAAACAAUGCCCCAAAAUGCUUGCGGCACCUCAGCUAUCUCAGUCCACAACCACAAAAGAAGCCAUUCAGUGAGUCACACUGUUGAUCUUAUGGUAGACAUAUCUGAUCUCAAUCGAAGAGUAGCCUCGAACUAAAUACCAUGCAUCAUUGAAGAGAAAGCGAGUAGCUUUGACCCUCAGUUACUUCCGCAACCAGUCGACGAUCCUGACUGAAUUUCCUUCUACAAUCAACCCCUUCGCAUACAGCCGC
rnacentral:lncRNA from 1 species